UACGUAGGGUGCAAGCGUUAAUCGGAAUUACUGGGCGUAAAGCGUGCGCAGGCGGUUAUGUAAGACAGGUGUGAAAUCCCCGGGCUUAACCUGGGAACUGCAUUUGUGACUGCAUAGCUAGAGUACGGUAGAGGGGAUGGAAUUCCGCGUGUAGCAGUGAAAUGCGUAGAUAUGCGGAGGAACACCGAUGGCGAAGGCAAUCCCCUGGACCCUGUACUGACGCUCAUGCACGAAAGCGUGGGGAGCAAACAGG
rnacentral:rRNA from 1 species